rnacentral:rRNA from 1 species
UUAAGCGACUAAGCGUACACGGUGGAUGCCCUGGCAGUCAGAGGCGAUGAAGGACGUGCUAAUCUGCGAAAAGCGUCGGUAAGGUGAUAUGAACCGUUAUAACCGGCGAUGUCCGAAUGGGGAAACCCAGUGCAAUUCGUUGCACUAUCGUUAACUGAAUACAUAGGUUAACGAGGCGAACCGGGGGAACUGAAACAUCUAAGUACCCCGAGGAAAAGAAAUCAACCGAGAUUCCCCCAGUAGCGGCGAGCGAACGGGGAGCAGCCCAGAGUCUGAAUCAGCUUGUGUGUUAGUGGAACGGUCUGGAAAGUCCGACGGUACAGGGUGAUAGUCCCGUACACCAAAAUGCACAGGCUGUGAACUCGAAGAGUAGGGCGGGACACGUGGUAUCCUGUCUGAAUAUGGGGGGACCAUCCUCCAAGGCUAAAUACUCCUGACUGACCGAUAGUGAACCAGUACCGUGAGGGAAAGGCGAAAAGAACCCCGGCGAGGGGAGUGAAAAAGAACCUGAAACCGUGUACGUACAAGCAGUGGGAGCACCUUCGGGUGUGACUGCGUACCUUUUGUAUAAUGGGUCAGCGACUUAUAUUCUGUAGCAAGGUUAACCGUAUAGGGGAGCCGCAGGGAAACCGAGUCUUAACUGGGCGUUAAGUUGCAGGGUAUAGACCCGAAACCCGGUGAUCUAGCCAUGGGCAGGUUGAAGGUUGGGUAACACUAACUGGAGGACCGAACCGACUAAUGUUGAAAAAUUAGCGGAUGACUUGUGGCUGGGGGUGAAAGGCCAAUCAAACCGGGAGAUAGCUGGUUCUCCCCGAAAGCUAUUUAGGUAGCGCCUCGUGAAUUCAUCUUCGGGGGUAGAGCACUGUUUCGGCUAGGGGGUCAUCCCGACUUACCAACCCGAUGCAAACUACGAAUACCGAAGAAUGUUAUCACGGGAGACACACGGCGGGUGCUAACGUCCGUCGUGAAGAGGGAAACAACCCAGACCGCCAGCUAAGGUCCCAAAGUCAUGGUUAAGUGGGAAACGAUGUGGGAAGGCACAGACAGCCAGGAUGUUGGCUUAGAAGCAGCCAUCAUUUAAAGAAAGCGUAAUAGCUCACUGGUCGAGUCGGCCUGCGCGGAAGAUGUAACGGGGCUAAACCAUGCACCGAAGCUGCGGCAGCGACACUAUGUGUUGUUGGGUAGGGGAGCGUUCUGUAAGCCUGCGAAGGUGACCUGUGAGGGUUGCUGGAGGUAUCAGAAGUGCGAAUGCUGACAUAAGUAACGAUAAAGCGGGUGAAAAGCCCGCUCGCCGAAAGACCAAGGGUUCCUGUCCAACGUUAAUCGGGGCAGGGUGAGUCGACCCCUAAGGCGAGGCCGAAAGGCGUAGUCGAUGGGAAACAGGUUAAUAUUCCUGUACUUGGUGUUACUGCGAAGGGGGGACGGAGAAGGCUAUGUUAGCCGGGCGACGGUUGUCCCGGUUUAAGCAUGUAGGCUGGUUAUCCAGGCAAAUCCGGAUAAUCAAGGCUGAGGUGUGAUGACGAGGCACUACGGUGCUGAAGUAACAAAUGCCCUGCUUCCAGGAAAAGCCUCUAAGCAUCAGGUAACAUCAAAUCGUACCCCAAACCGACACAGGUGGUCAGGUAGAGAAUACCAAGGCGCUUGAGAGAACUCGGGUGAAGGAACUAGGCAAAAUGGUGCCGUAACUUCGGGAGAAGGCACGCUGGUGUGUAGGUGAAGUCCCUGCGGAUGGAGCUGAGACCAGUCGAAGAUACCAGCUGGCUGCAACUGUUUAUUAAAAACACAGCACUGUGCAAACACGAAAGUGGACGUAUACGGUGUGACGCCUGCCCGGUGCCGGAAGGUUAAUUGAUGGGGUUAUCCGUAAGGAGAAGCUCUUGAUCGAAGCCCCGGUAAACGGCGGCCGUAACUAUAACGGUCCUAAGGUAGCGAAAUUCCUUGUCGGGUAAGUUCCGACCUGCACGAAUGGCGUAAUGAUGGCCAGGCUGUCUCCACCCGAGACUCAGUGAAAUUGAACUCGCUGUGAAGAUGCAGUGUACCCGCGGCAAGACGGAAAGACCCCGUGAACCUUUACUAUAGCUUGACACUGAACAUUGAGCCUUGAUGUGUAGGAUAGGUGGGAGGCUUUGAAGCGUGGACGCCAGUCUGCGUGGAGCCAACCUUGAAAUACCACCCUUUAAUGUUUGAUGUUCUAACGUUGGCCCCUUACCGGGGUUGCGGACAGUGUCUGGUGGGUAGUUUGACUGGGGCGGUCUCCUCCCAAAGCGUAACGGAGGAGCACGAAGGUUAGCUAAUCCUGGUCGGACAUCAGGAGGUUAGUGCAAUGGCAUAAGCUAGCUUGACUGCGAGCGUGACGGCGCGAGCAGGUGCGAAAGCAGGUCAUAGUGAUCCGGUGGUUCUGAAUGGAAGGGCCAUCGCUCAACGGAUAAAAGGUACUCCGGGGAUAACAGGCUGAUACCGCCCAAGAGUUCAUAUCGACGGCGGUGUUUGGCACCUCGAUGUCGGCUCAUCACAUCCUGGGGCUGAAGUAGGUCCCAAGGGUAUGGCUGUUCGCCAUUUAAAGUGGUACGCGAGCUGGGUUUAGAACGUCGUGAGACAGUUCGGUCCCUAUCUGCCGUGGGCGCUGGAGAAUUGAGGGGGGCUGCUCCUAGUACGAGAGGACCGGAGUGGACGCAUCACUGGUGUUCGGGUUGUCAUGCCAAUGGCACUGCCCGGUAGCUAAAUGCGGAAGAGAUAAGUGCUGAAAGCAUCUAAGCACGAAACUUGCCCCGAGAUGAGUUCUCCCUGAGACUUUAAGUCUCCUGAAGGAACGUUAAAGACGAUGACGUUGAUAGGCCGGGUGUGUAAGCGCAGCGAUGCGUUGAGCUAACCGGUACUAAUGAACCGUGAGGCUUAACCU